ACAGAGACUGCAAGCGUUACUCGGAUUUACUGGGCGUAAAGGGUCUGCAGGCGGCCACGUGUGUUGGGUGUGAAAUCCUACGGCUUAACCGUAGAACGGCGCCCAAAACUACGUGGCUAGAGUCUCGGAGAGGGUAGUGGAAUUCCAGGUGGAGGGGUGAAAUGCGUAGAUCUGUGGAGGACCACCAGGGGCGAAGGCAGCUAAAGGGACGCAUCCUGAGGCUCAUGGACGAAAGCGUGGGGAGCAAAAAG
rnacentral:rRNA from 1 species